GCAUAUAAUUAUUUUUCAUGACUUUUUGUCGAACCCCAUCUACACGCACACACGCAGUCAAAAUUCAUUUGGAAUUUUAAGAAUUCGUCAAUCGUCGUGAAAUUAUAAUUAGAAGGACCUGAAUUUCUAUUUCUUUAUCAGAUUUGAAAAAAAAUCCGGUUUCAGUACCAGUUCAAUGGAGGAUCAAUCGAGAUUUUCUUACGUAAAGAAGCAAAAGGCAUCGUUUAAUAAUCAAAGGCCGGAAUCAUUCGCCGGCGAUUAUGACUUCGGAGAGAGUACUGAUCGGCGAUUCGCAUACUCCCGGCAAGCCUCAUUCCGUCAGUCAACCUCCACUGCUGAGCCUCAUACUCCAAUAUCGAUAAAUCCGUCAAACGGUUAUUUUUUGCACAACUCUGCUGAGGAUAAACUGUAUUCAUUUGGAAUUUUAAGAAUUCGUCAAUCGUCGUGAAAUUAUAAUUAGAAGGACCUGAAUUUCUAUUUCUUUAUCAGAUUUGAAAAAAAAUCCGGUUUCAGUACCAGUUCAAUGGAGGAUCAAUCGAGAUUUUCUUACGUAAAGAAGCAAAAGGCAUCGUUUAAUAAUCAAAGGCCGGAAUCAUUCGCCGGCGAUUAUGA
rnacentral:lncRNA from 1 species